CGAACACGUUCGAGACGAACGCAUUGAUACGGUGGCUACCGUCGCCACGCUCUUUCUUAGCAAAUCUCCUGAGCAGCCGAACGCUUGUUAACAGCCGUUCCGACGCAGAGCUAUGUAACUCACUGCUGGGUGACUCUCUUCUGAAAGGGCCAGGAUGAAGGUCAAUUUGUUAUGUAGUGUUUCAUGGCGCAGCAAACACAAAAACAGCACGCCCUAUGAAUAUGAAUGCAAGGCGUAGACCAAAAACUCACAUCGGUGUUUCAUCGUGUGGUUCGAAAACAAGAGACGAUCGCUGCUGUUGGAUGUGGUUGACUCUGCAUUGAACGAGAGUUGGCCUGAGUGGCUUUUGCGUGAUUAUGUUUUGAUUGACUGCGUUUGUCGUAUGAAGUGUUGGUUAAAGCGAGUGUCGUUCGACAUUAACCAUCCUGAAACUGCACAAUCCUAGAUGUAAUACUAAAUAAACGAAAAUAAGCUACGGGCAAAUCCAGGUUCAAAAAAGGCCGAGAAGAAUAAGAAAUCGUACAAACCGGUGGUCAGGUGUUCCGUGAUCAAGAAGAAGGCGAAGAAGAUGGUCGAGAUGACUACGGGAGUCAAACAGCGAAGUCAGGCAGCUGAGCAAGGUGUUGGAGCGAUGCAAAUUAGCAAAAAGCUGGAGGUCAUUUAAAGAUCGGUGAAGGAAACGAAGGUGAAAUGAAACAAGGAUGCGAAAUCAGUGUAAUCAAAUGUCGUCGCGAAGGUCGGAGCGAAUGGUGCAGGAAGUGCAGUUGAAGAAACUGGAAGCGAAAGAUACUCUAAUGGAAGAGGAAAUGAAAGGGAAACGGUAAUUGCUGCAGAAGAAAUUCAGUUUGCUAGAUGAAACUGCCAAAUUACCAAAAUUCAGCGGAAAUCCUAAGGAGUAACCGAUGUCCUUGUCAACCCGGAUAAAAACUAAUCAUAGGGUGUUUGGUGAAAACCAUUCCUGCACCAUACAGUGUACCAGCUACAAUAAAGUGUAUUGUAAUGAAAUGGUUCGCUAUACUAUACAUUUACAUUGGAUUUUUAUGUAACAAUAUAUUAUACUGUUUUUCUUACGUUUGAGCCAUUCACUUUUCCGAAACAUUAUUUUUCCGUGAAUUUUUAAUUAUUUAUUCAGUUUAAGAUUUUUUCCGUGUUUUGUUUUGUUGAUGUUUAUGACUUUUUUUAUGCAAAGGAAAGGAAAGAGAAAAAAAGUGAAUAAGUAUAAACAUCAAUUUAAAGUCAAUAACAUGUUUAAAUCAGUGGUAAACCAGAUGUCCUAAGAACUGCAGGUCCAAGCAGGGGUCCAAGAGAUAUGGCGGGCUAGGUGUGUAGAGUGCGAUGAGAGAAAUACGGAUGUAGGCCAACCCGGAAAGAUGCAGGUCAGAUUACCGUAAAUCAGUGGAUGAGUUCAACACUAUUCUUUCUGUAUUUGCAUUUAGGGGAGUUUCCUCCUCUUCUCUCACGUGAACUUGCCUUCGACCACAAUCGAAUCAAAUGCGGUUGACAAACUUUAUCUUUGACGUAGAGCCAUCUUUAACAUAUGGACUGGACUGAACACUGAAAUGACUUCUAAUAUAGGUUCGUCUGCGGGUUCGCUUUUUAACCUAACUUAUAUUUGAAUCGAACUUGACAGUUUUCUCAUGAGUUGUUAUGUAUUUCAAACUUUAGUCAAGCUGGUGCCUCAAUAUUGCAAUAACGGUUAAGCACGCUGUAAUGAUACUUAUGUACCUCGUCACCCACUUCAUGCAACUACAUUAGUGGUCUAAUAACACUUAGCGCGCUCGGCAUAGUUCCAUCAUGCCGCUCAAAGUGUUGCCACAAAUAAUGCUUAGUUUGCAAAACCCGGUUAUCUGGCUGGUGGGGCAAAGGGAGCCUAAGCUUCAACUGUUAAUGCAAUCAGAGACUACUCCGACUUAGACGUGGGCGAUCCUAUAUAUGAAGGGUUAUUCAAAACACUCUGGAGAAUUCCCAAAGCGCAUUCUAAUAAAUCUAGUAAUCCUAAGAUGCCAUUAAGAGAAGGAAAAUGACUAGAUAAUAUAACUAUAUAUGGCUUAUGUAAUGUAAAACAAUACAACAUAACCAAAGAGAACCAUUCCAAAACCAUUUGAUUAAAUGUAUAACCAGUAGUGAAAUUACAAUUAAAAACAAUUUAUUUACGGUACAUUUUAUUGUUUGAAACCAUUCAUGUACCAUACAAUGUAUGGUAUAUUUAAACCCAUGUAUCAGUAUUUUGAACAAUUCAUUAACAAUAAAAUGUAUGGUUUUGCAAAAAAAUAUAUAUGGGGAAAAUAUUUUUUAUAUUGUUACGAUACUUAACAACCUGUAUAAUAUAUUGUAAAAAUCUUAUUUACAAUUCACGGUAUGGGUGUCUAUAUUACAUCUUGUUGUUUUUGUAUUUUUAUUUUUACAGUGGUGUCUAUUGUAUAAAUAUGGUUCUAAAUAGUACUGUUACAAUACAUUGUUCGGUUUUUCUACUGUAUUUUUUAUUCGGGAACAUACGAAAGUACAAUGAGAAAGUGGGGCUAUAGGGACAAGGAGAACAUAUUUCGGAAGCGGAAUUGCUUGUAAGACUAUGCUCUCAACACUGUAUGUAGUUUUCUCGUGCUUCCCUCCACGGUUCCGAAGGCGAUUAGUGCGCUGAAGCUAAGCUACCAUCAACACAUUAACAGAUAAGGUACUUGGAAUGCUGUCUAUAAGGGCCAACGCGAUGGACAAACUGAUCGAACAUGCAUUGGUGGUGCAGAAUUUGUGUAGCACAAUCGUCGCAGGACUCGUCGUGCCACCUUCUCUCAAACUCGAUUGGGCGAGGCAUCAGAGGACGUUGAGAAAGAUCAUCUUGUUCACCUACAACAAAGUGAUUUAUUCUGUAGCCGAAGAUGCCUGCUUGGUUUGCGGUAUCCAACCGACUGAGAAGAAUCAGGAACUUCGCAGCAAGCCGAAAAGCAAGGCAUUUUGGAAACUCGUUCCAACUAUUCGUCUUCAGAAGUUCCAAAACAGAAGCCAUCGGAGUUCCGGAGUCGAAGCAGCCAGUCGGAAACAAGAUAUAGCUAGGUUGGUGCUACCAAAUGUUUUGCGAUCUGGAAGGGAGGUUGCAAAAACGCUGGGAAGUGUCCGAGAUUUUUGGAUCUAUCGUAUGAGACGAGGUUGGUGACGGAACGUUCGACAACAUGGCGGAAAGUGCGAUGAGAAGCCUUGUGGAAAGAACAAUUGCACCUUUAAACACCAUGAACUGCUGCAUAAAGAACUCACCGCUACUGGGCCUAACAACAAUGCGAGUCGACCAACGCAAGAAGAAACAAAUGCAAACACUCAGCAGUCAAGCUCCGGAGAUCAUUUCGCUAUCUACUUGGAUUGUUCGGGAACAAGAAACAGAUCGACUGCUAUGCAUUUCUUAACUAUGGUACGGAGUUAACGUCGAUGGACCAAGGUUUAGCAGAGGAUUUGGAAGUAGCAGCUAUACCUGCACCACUUUACCUGAAGUGGACAGGUGGAACUCAUCGUUUCGGAGCGGAAUCUCUGAGCGUUGAUGUUGUCCCUAAUGGGCAAACCGGAAGGAGUUUACGCUCAAUGGCGUCCGUAAGGUUGGGGAUUUGCAGUGAUGGCGUGGAGUUUCGUAGCCGUGCGGUUAGGGUCACCAAGCUUAUAAUCGCACCAUGCUAUGGGGUGAGGGUUCGAUUCCCGCUUCGGGCGUUGAAACUUUUCGUGAGAAUAGUUUCUUCCCCGUUUCCACUGGUGCAUGCUCCGUUGUCCGUUGUCUAAUGUUAAGCUUAAAACAGACUGUACAGCCGAAAGCUGAAGACGUUGUCCGUGUCUUUUUUUUUAAGCGGUUGAAUUGUUUGGAGAAGCGAAAGGAACGGGAUCCAAAAUUGGCAUGUGUCCUACGUGAAAAGAUCGCCGAUAACUUGGCUAAGGAUUCGGACGUUCGAAAGCUGUCGACCGAAGAGCUUGAAGAAAAGCAGCAACGAGUGUGGUACAUAUCUGCCUAUUUUACCAGUUGCCAGCUAAAACAAGCUCGGAAAGGUACGCAUAGUUUGGGACGCAGCGGCGGCUUUUCAUGGUGUAUCGUUUAGUUCGGCGCUACUAACAAGGCCAGAUGAGUUUACUUCUCUGCCAGCUGUACUGUGCCAGUUUCGUAAAUAUCGAGUUAGAUUUUGUGGAUUUUUUUUUUAUUCUUUAUUAAAGUGGUUUUCCUCCGUAGGAGGGUUCAUCACUAGUCAGAUUAGAAUUUAUGGAGAUAUUCGUGGAAUAUUUCACCAAGUUCGAAUGCGACUAGUGGACUAACAUUGUCAGCGAUUUCACUAGUGGGGCAGUGUCAACGAGGGUCCAAGCAUAUACGUUAUGAACGUCAUUCGGUGCUUGCUGAUCUCGCUCAGUUUAUGAAGAACCAAAAUGCGGAAAGGUUUCACGGGCACAUUAUGAGGACAAUAUGCUGGCUAGUGAAGAGACAGAAGAAGCUACUAUCGAACUGGCAAAGUCGGAGCGAUAUGUUCAUGCGAAAGGAGGAUUCCAAAUAAGGAACUGGAUCUUAAACUCGCAGCGAGUCCUUGCAGCGUUGCAAGACGAAGGUGUUACGCAGGAGAACCUGGAUUUGACAGCGGAGAUGGGGACAGAGAAGGUCCUAGGGAUGCUAUGGAACACGGCGAAGGACUGCUUUACCUUCAAGGUGUCCUUGACACGGUAUGAUGAAGCACUGCCCAAAGAAACGCGUCACUCUACGAAGAAUGAGGUACUUCGAGUUUUGAUGACAGUUUUCGACCCGCUAGAACAAUAAGGCAACUACCUCAUGCACCUAAAAAUUGUUUUGCAGGAAGUUUGGCGCUCUGGAGUUCAGUGGGGACAGCUGAUCCAAGACAAACAGUACGAGGAAUGGAAAGCUUUCAUCAAACUACUCCCGACAUUGGAGCACGUUACUAUAUCACGUUGUUGCUACCGGCAGGCCACAUCAGUUGGUCAAGAGUAACGCCUCGUGCGACCCCCUGAAUCGCAUUUAAAACCACUUGAAACGCCCCUGAAAUUCCCGUAAACUCCUUGAAAUACUCUUGAAUGCCCACAAAAGCAACCUCAGUCCUCUUGAAACUCUCUGAAACACUUUGAAACGCCUCUGAAAACUCUUAAGGACAGAUUUAUUAGAAUCACAAAAUGGCUACGACAAUGGCCGACUUUGUCACCUACUCACGAUUUUGAGGGCACAAAUCUCUUCGUAAACAAAACCAGCGCACCUGAGCUUCUUAUUUUAAGCUUCUUACAAGUAAGGAAGGACAGAAUAAUUAAAUGCACUGUUGUUCGAAGCUUGCUUCUUGAGAUUUGAGCGUCUAAAGUUCUGAUGCACUGUUGAAGCGGGAUUUCAAGACGUUUGUCUUUAAAACGACCUUAAAAGGCUCCUCAAACCCCUCAAGAAAAAAAAACCUUGAAUGUUUUUAAGUACUCCUUAAACCUCUAUAAUUCCAUUUAAACGCUCUUUGAAUCCUCGUAUUUUUUUUUUAAAUGUCCCUAAAACCACUUGGAACCCCAGAAACGACUCGAAAAAAAAAAACCUUGAAGCACUCCUGAAAUAGUUUGACACACUUCUAAACCCCCACAACUCAAUUGAAAUUCCCCUGAAUCCUCUUGGCACGCUCUUUAAACGUUCCGGAAACCCUAUGGAACUCUUUGAUACGACCCUGAAACAGUGAAACCCCUUCUAACGAUGGCUGUUUGCUUUUGAAACCUCUAAAUUCGCCCUUAAAACCCCUUGAAAUGUCCUUGAAACCACCGUAACACUAUUGAAACUCUCCUGAAAUCCCCGUGAUCCCAAUGAAACGCUACGAAACCUGUCAAAACGCCUAUAAAAGGCUCCUGAAAUUUCCUGAAACAACUCCUUUGAACGCCCCCGAAUCGGCGUUAGCGAACAGCUGUGUUCUGCGGAAUGUACUGCCAAGGUUUCAGAACGUCGACUAUGAAACUUGUUAGGGGCCGGCAACAUCAGGCAACUGUCUCAAUGUGCUUAUGGAACAAGUCCACAAUACAGUGGCAACCCUUGAGACAAUAUUGUGGUCGCUGAGUCUCGAAACAUCGUGAGCCCUAUUGUAUUGAAAAAAAAAAGCAACAUUCUCGUAUGAUCAUGUAUUCCUUAUCACUACUGUUAGGCGGCUAGUGUAGCUCUCGAAGUUCCGAAACUACUGUUUAUCCCUCCAAUGGAUACCUGGGGUCCAUUGGACCCCAGAGCCGCUUUGAAGUGGUCGCAAAAAAGUUUGGAUUGAUAUAUCGGCCCCAUUUUUACAGUACCUUUAAACUAUACCACGAUGAGUUAUUUGUGCAAAAAUACCGAUAGUUUCAUGGCGUACUAUGGAUUAUUUUAGAUUUCAAAGUUGAACCGGGCGAUUUUGAACCCCUGGGGUCCAUUGGACCCCACGGUACGAAUGAUUGUAUCUUUUGAUCGUGACUUGUUAGAAUAAUGUCAAAUAUACUAUAUUAACAAUAUAGGUCACUCUUACGAUUUUUUGGCGACACCUUUUUUGUGAAUGUGGCGCCACCAAGCGUUAGAAGAGUUACUACUACACACUAAAUGCACGCGCUAUCCGAAUGACGUUUAUUCUGUCGAACUGUCAUUGCAAGGUGGGGAUGCCCAUUUCUUCUGAAAUAAUCGAUUUUUUUCCAACUACUCAAAAUUUGAGUAGAAAUUUAAUUAGAACAAAUUUAAUUCUUUCUUCUUAUUGCUUGUUGCGGAGAUAUAGAGAUUCGCGCAGGAGUCUAAACAGGUGGAAUCUCCGAAAUAAACAAUUUUUGGCGUAUAUUAUCGUAGCAGCACCAAAUCGAAGUCGCGGCUCGCGCGACAUGCGAAGUAAAUUUGAACUGAUAAACGUUCAUAACAGACUAAAACACAGACGAUUCCGUUAGCGAGUUAUGAACGGUAUUUUCUCCGGAAAUUACACGAGGAUUUCCUUGUGGGAUCCGUUUCAGAAUUGCACCCUGGAUUUUUUUUUUCUCCAAGAUUCCUUCAGAAGCUCUUGGGGGAUUCCUCCUAGAAAUAAUUCUGGAAUUUUUUUAGGAACUCCUUUCGGGGUUGUUUAGGGAAAGCGUUCCUCCUCCAUUCUCCAACAUUUUUUUUAUCAAUUUUCUCCAGCAGUUUUGAAAAAUCUCCUCCAGAUGUUUGUUCUGGUUUUUUUUUUCAAAAGUUUCUUCUGGGAUUACAUAUCUCCAUGAAUAAAACGCAAUCUGUGAAGUACUAGUUUUGUAGUAAUGAGCUGAAUUUUUGUAUAAUGAGAAAGUUAAUAAUAUCUUAUUAAUAAUAAUUAAUAAUAAUAGGCUCCUAAAGGCCUAUCUCAAUUUCUGCAUAAUUCGAUCGAGCAUUGCUUAAAACGACAUAUUUACUCAUUUUUUAAGUAAUCCUAUUAGGUAAAGCCCGUAAAAUAUAUUUUCAAAAAUUUUAAUAUUUUUUGCAACGCUCCUUGUUUAGCACUCAAUUUAGGGAAAAUUUUGUUUACCGUGUAUGUCAAACAGGAACAUUUGUUGUCAAAAGUGAGCCAAUGUGAUGUCUUUUGCAACCCGCCGUUUCACUUUCGUUACGUCAAGGUUGACCUCGAAUGUCAAGCAAGACCUGCUCACCAUUAUAUUAUUUUCGAGUUUAUUAACUGUUCUGUCAUUGUUUAAGCUCGGAAAAAUUACCAUUGAGAUCAGAAAAGCAUGCUCCUUCGUGUUACGCAGCAAAACCGGGAAAAUAUUUUUCAUUUUAGGACCCUAUUAUUGCAAUAUAAUGGUAACUGCAAUAAUGGUAACAACAAAGCAAGAGUUUUAUGACUGCUUGUCUGAUUUGAUGCUGUUUGAGCAAAACUUUGGGUAACUGUGUUGUUGUAUUCUCAUUUAUUGCAACUUCAACAACAUAGUUCCCAAAGUUUUGCUCAAGCAGCA